rnacentral:rRNA from 1 species
UACAGAGACCUCAAGCGUUAUCCGGAAUCAUUGGGCGUAAAGCGUACCGAUAUGUGGUUGCAAUAGUCUUGGGUAAAAGCCGGAAGCUCAACUUCCGCGUUUGCUUAAGAUACUUUUCGACUAGAGGGGCAAAGAGGUGCUUGGAACCAACGGUGUAGUAGUGAAAUGCGUUGAUAUCGUUGGGAACACCGAAAGCGAAGGCAGAGCACUGGGUGCCACCUGACACUGCUAGGACGAAAGCGUGGGGAGCGAAUGGG